CUACAUUAAUGAGUACAAACAUACACAACUAAAACAUUAGGCAUUCAAGAAUUUAAAAAUAUCAAAUAGGUCCUAAUUUUUAUGAUCAAGAGAAAUAAUACCAAGUAGUCCUCUUAGGAAAGAAAAUCUGUCUUCAAGUAAAGGCUUAGUGAAAAUAUCUGCUAACUGAUCAGUAGUUCCAACAAAUGAUAAUUCUAUACCCUUGAAG
rnacentral:lncRNA from 1 species